AAUGGCGAGUGCAUCAGGGCAGGCUCAGUUCGGAAAUCGGAGCAUAUACCCAUGAUUUGUAAGGUGGUGAUGUGCUACCAGUUGAGAUGCAGUAAUACGCCCCUGGAAAAGAGCAUAGAUACGGGUGACAAUCCUAUGUGUCGUCUGCAACGUUCAGUGCACGGUGUAUCUUCCAAGAGUCGUGUACCUUGGGAAUGGUGCGUGAAACAGGUGGUACAAUUCAUGCAAAGCAGUCUCUGUGUUUGAGACCAACAGCAAACAAGUACCAUGAGGGAAAAGUGAAACCGGACUCUGUAAAGAGAGGUAACAGUGUUUGAACCUGCUGGAAGGGACAUGGAGGGCACCAGUGUAGCCUGGCGAGAUUGCUGUGUGCANNNNNNNNNNNNNNNNNNNCCAAGGAGUCUAGCAUGUCUGCGAGCUCAUGGGUGGCAACCAUCUAUGUUUGCGCAACGAAAAUAUUGGCUGGUAUAGGUGCACUGGCAACAAACUUUUCGCUGAUGGGAAGUCUGAGUGUGAGCACACCUGCUAGGACCCGAAAGAUGGUGAGCUAUGCCUGUGGAAGGCAAACCCAGGGGAAACUCUGAUGGAAGCUUGUAGCGGUACUGACGUGCAAAUCGUUCGUUGUAUAUGGGUAUGGGGGCGAAAGACUAAUCGAACCAUCUAGUACCUGGUUCCCUUCGAAGUUUUCCUCAGGAUAGCUGGAGUUGAUCUAUGUUUAGCAGGUAAAGCANAUGAUUAGAUGCAUUGGGGGCUCGCUGCCUUUGACCUAUUCUCAAACUCUAAAUGCGUAAGGCCUAGUUGUUGUUUGUGUGAAUGUCUGGGAGGGGAGAGUGGUGCCUCUGUGUGGGCCAUUUUUGGUAAGCAGAACUGGUGAUGAGGGAUGAACCUAAUGUUGGGUGCACGCGCUUAGUUGCCUACUCAUCCGAUACCAUGAAGGGUGUUGGUUCAUUUAAACAGCAGGACGGUGGUCAU
rnacentral:rRNA from 1 species